rnacentral:rRNA from 1 species
GUGUCAGCAGCCGCGGUAACACGUAUGGGGCGAGCGUUGUUCGGAAUUACUGGGCGUAAAGGGCGUGUAGGCGGUUCGAAAAGCCUGGCGUGAAAGUCAUCGGCCCAACCGAUGGACGGCGCUGGGAACUGCCGGACUGGAGUCAUGGAGGGGGAGCUGGAAUUCCAGGUGUAGGGGUGAAAUCUGUAGAGAUCUGGAAGAACACCGGUGGCGAAGGCGAGCUCCUGGCCAAUGACUGACGCUGAGGCGCGAAAGCGUGGGGAGCAAACAGGAUUAGAUACCCUGGUAGUCCACGCUGUAAACGAUGUGCACUAGGUGUUGGUGUCAUACAGGCAUCGGUGCCGUAGCUAAGGCGUUAAGUGCACCGCCUGGGGAGUAUGCUCGCAAGGGUGAAACUCAAAGGAAUUGACGGGG